AGUACAUACCUGGGGAUUUGCCCACAAAUGAAGGUACUUCAACCUCAAUACACGAUCUAUGCAGUUUGCCAGAAAAGGAGCUGUAUAAGGUCCAUCUUCAAAAACAAAUAAGAAAAAGUGACAUGGAGAUGGACCUUAUACAACUUCAAAUGGAAGAGAGAAGGCUAUCCAUUAAAAAAAGCAACACUAGAAAUUGAAUUACUGGAGCAUCGCCUUAAGGAAAUGAAGAAAUGAACUGCACAGUAGACCAGUGCAAACUAUUUAAUAAAAGUAAUUUUGACAAACCCUUUGGUCCAGGAUCAGGUUCAGG